GGCAUGGUAUGAUAGAAAAGUAGGUCAAGGACCCAUUGAACUUGUACAGGAAUUAAUUCAAAUAAUGCUCCUUAAGGUUUCAGGUAGAAGACCACUCCUCUCCAUGCUCCUGGCAGGGUGGCCCCUCUUAUCAACAGGAUCAGCAGCACCAGAUGCUGAAGUACACAACAGUGAAGAUGAACAACAGACAGAGGGCUAGUUGCCAGCUCACCCAGCCCAACUG